AGUUGGUCCGAAAGCUGUGGGUUAUCACAUUUGUCUCUCCCACAGCCCCACAACCUCACAACCCCACAACCAUGAUUGACUAACUGUGUUUU
ensembl:misc_RNA Y_RNA Y RNA